GUGUUGCUUCUUUCAGGUUUGCCUGGUUGAACAGCAGUGUGCUGUCCUCACUGUCCCUUUCAAAAACCUAGCAAAAGAUGGGUUCUGGUUUGAUGGAUGAUGCUACAAUACCUGGAAGGUCCUGAGGGGAUGCUGUUAAGAGUGUGUGUCCAGUUUUAACCCACUGCCUUGCCAGGUUCACAUACUGACUCAGACCAAAAUCCUCCAACCAACUGCAAACCUGCUCCAUCUUCCACUGAGAAAAUGGAGCAUUCCAGUCACUGCAAGUCCGUGCCAGACGAGGCCCCGCUGUUGCCCGCAGCCCCCCUCUUUGGAAUUGAGAAGUGCCUGAGUCACCUGCCUGAAGGCUACCUGACUGGGUUCUUCGUAUUCUUUGUAAGAGAACACCAUUUGUUAAAAUU